GGUAGAAUGGCUGAGAAUUAAGGCGAUAAAUUGUAAAUUUAUUUACGAAAUUAAUAUUUCUUCUACCA
rnacentral:tRNA from 1 species